GUUAAAACACUGGUUUCCGUACGAUCAGCGAAGUUAAGCAACGUCGAGCCUGAUCAGUAACUAGAUGGGUGACCGCUUGAGAAUAGCAGGUGCUGUAAG